rnacentral:rRNA from 1 species
CCUACGGGAGGCAGCAGUGAGGAAUAUUGGUCAAUGGACGAGAGUCUGAACCAGCCAAGUAGCGUGAAGGAUGACUGCCCUAUGGGUUGUAAACUUCUUUUAUAUGGGAAUAAAACGUUCCACGUGUGGGAUUUUGUAUGUACCAUAUGAAUAAGGAUCGGCUAACUCCGGGCCAGCAGCCGCGGUAAUACGGAGGAUCCGAGCGUUAUCCGGAUUUAUUGGGUUUAAAGGGAGCGUAGGUGGAUUGUUAAGUCAGUUGUGAAAGUUUGCGGCUCAACCGUAAAAUUGCAGUUGAAACUGGCAGUCUUGAGUACAGUAGAGGUGGGCGGAAUUCGUGGUGUAGCGGUGAAAUGCUUAGAUAUCACGAAGAACUCUGAUUGCGAAGGCAGUUCACUGGACUGCAACUGACACUGAGGCUCGAAAGUGUGGGUAUCAAACAGGAUUAGAUACCCUGGUAGUC